ACGCCUGGGGGGGAAACCCACGACCAGUGCAACAGAGAGCAAACCGCCGAUGGCCCGCGUAAGCGGGAUCAGGUAAGGGUGAAAGGGUGCGGUAAGAGCGCACCGCGCGGCUGGUAACAGUCCGUGGCACGGUAAACUCCACCCGGAGCAAGGCCAAAUAGGGGUUCAUAAGGUACGGCCCGUACUGAACCCGGGUAGGCUGCUUGAGCCAGUGAGCGAUUGCUGGCCUAGAUGAAUGACUGUCCACGACAGAACCCGGCUUAUCGGUCAGUUUCACCU
rnacentral:RNase_P_RNA from 1 species